GACGAACGCUGGCGGCGUGCUUAACACAUGCAAGUCGAACGGAAAGGCCCUGCUUUUGUGGGGUGCUCGAGUGGCGAACGGGUGAGUAACACGUGAGUAACCUGCCCUUGACUUUGGGAUAACUUCAGGAAACUGGGGCUAAUACCGGAUAGGAUCUCCUGCUGCAUGGUGGGGGAUGGAAAGUUUCGGCGGUUGGGGAUGGACUCGCGGCUUAUCAGCUUGUUGGUGAGGUAGUGGCUUACCAAGGCUUUGACGGGUAGCCGGCCUGAGAGGGUUACCGGCCACCUUGGGACUGAGAUACGGAGCAGACUCCUACGGGCGGCAGUAGUGGGGAAUAUUGCACAAUGGGCGGAAGCCUGAUGCAGCGACGCCGCGUGCGGGAUGACGGCCUUCGGGUUGUAAACCGCUUUCGCCUGUGACGAGGCGUGAGUGACGGUAAUGGGUAAAGAAGCACCGGCUAACUACGUG
rnacentral:rRNA from 1 species